AACUACAAGCACGAGGGAGGACUGAAAGCAGGAACGGGAGAAAAAGGAAGGAGGCGCGGGGGGGCCACAAGGACCUCCUCUGGGGUCAUUCUGAGCUUUGCUUCCAUCUAAAGCCACUCCUUUCCCCUUCCAGGACUUCCUAGUUCUUUCUCUCUCCCCCUCUGGUCUACAGCUGCAACUUUUCAAAUCCUCCUACAGACUCCUUAACCUCCAAAGACUCACAGCCCAGGGCUCAUCAAGUUUUAUGCAGCUGGGGAUGGGGAUCGGGGGAUGGGAGAGUUGUCUUUCAAAAAGACUUGCCGCGGGAUCUUAAUUUUGCAAAUUUUACACUCCCUGAAAGCUCUAGGCUCUUCAGCGUCAAGAUGAGCCUUCCUCAGGCUCCAACCAAAGAGUGUUCAACAAUCUGCAUGUUCCUUUCCCGGCGUAUCCUUUUUGAGGGAGGAUGGAAAACACCCAACAUCUGGGGAAGGAACAUGCUCUUUGGAAGAGAAUAAAGCAGACGGUGGGGAGGGAAGGCAAAUAUCCCAAGCCGCCCGCGGAGAUAAAUUUCGGCCGAAAGCUGCACCCCCGCAAGAGCUUCCCGUUUCUUCAGAAGCCUCUGCACUCUGGCUUCGCCCGGUCACCCCCGGCCAGACCUCUCCGAACUGACACUCUCCGUGCACUAGGUGGCUCCUGGUGGCCGCAAAUCUGCGGCGACUUUUGGGAAAUGGAUAGCGGGGAGACAAUCCCCGCGCGGCCCCAAAGGGCCGGGGACCCUCUCUCUCCUCCCGGAGCGCUGCUGGCGCUGCUUUGAGCCCCUGGGGGAGAGAGGCCGGCAGCUGCAGGCAUCCGGGUGGGUGGUAAACGGAAGCAGAGGAAGCAGGGGUGAUCAAGGGGCUGGAGGAACUAGAGAAACCAGCCAAAGGCGAGGCGCUGGGGCGCUAAGCACGCAGGGGCUGGGGCGGCACAGGCCAAGGCGGCCCCGCGGCCGGAGCGCCCACCGUCCUGAACGUGACUCGGCCACCUUCCUGUUCCAGGUGCUCCUGACUAGUGCCGUCCGCGAGCGAAGGACCUUUCCCAGCCCCAGAGAGCCUGGCGUCACCUCCCCCCCGCCCCACACCACCCCAAGUCUUCCAGUCCCACUUUCCGGCCACCCACCAAAAGCGCACAGCCCCACUCCUGCGAGCCGCCGCACCAGCGCGCCUUCCCCUCGCCGCACCCCAAACAAGCAGGGGAGGGUGUGGGGCGCCACCCCGUUCCCACUUACCCGCUGCCCAUCCCGGCCUCCUCACUGUACUCACCGAAAACUCGUGGAGCCUGGGAAGAGACUGCACCUCAUCCUCAAGAGGCCGCGGGGAGAACGAGUCACCCCAGCCACCGAGGUGCGAAGGCAAGAGGAGGCAGCGGCUCCCUCCCCGGCGGGAUCAUUGGUCUGGAACCAACACCCUCACCCACCUCCAGUGCAGGGAGGGAGGCACUGAGAUCUCAACACUGCCCUGGAUCAAGGGUUGGGCUCAUAGCUCCUUCCCUAAUGAAGGAAUCACUACUGAGUGUGCCUGAGACCCCACACAUGGUGCCUUUUAACCCUCAUUGCCAAGAUAUUUAUUACCCGCGUGUAUCAAGUGAUAACACCUGCUGGGGGAGAGGGUCGUUCAAUUCGAUUUACUCAGAAGUCCUACAGCUAGUGCGAGGCAGUGUUGGAAUUUGCAGGUCUAAUUUCAAAAGUUAUAUUUAAUGCCUAAUAGUCCCAUUAAGAUUGGAUGGAACUUCUGAUGGAAAUGUAAACUAGUACAACCACUAAGGAGAACAACGGUAUGGAUGUUCCUUGAAAAACUAAAAGUGGAGUCACCAUUUGAUGCAGCAACCCACACCUGGGCACAUAUCUGAAGAAAACUCCGAUUCGAAAAGAUAAUGCACCCCAGUGUUCAUAGCAGCACCAUCUGCAAUAACCAAGACCUGGAAAUAAAGUAAAUGGCCACUGACA
rnacentral:lncRNA from 9 species